GGCCUUGCGGUCUAGCGGUACGAUAACUCCUUAGGGACUUAAAGUUUCUAGCAUGCAGGUGGCCCCGGGUUCGACUCCCGGGAAGGCCU